rnacentral:rRNA from 1 species
UGCAGUCGAGCGGACAGAUGGGAGCUUGCUCCCUGAUGUUAGCGGCGGACGGGUGAGUAACACGUGGGUAACCUGCCUGUAAGACUGGGAUAACUCCGGGAAACCGGGGCUAAUACCGGAUGGUUGUCUGAACCGCAUGGUUCAGACAUAAAAGGUGGCUUCGGCUACCACUUACAGAUGGACCCGCGGCGCAUUAGCUAGUUGGUGAGGUAACGGCUCACCAAGGCGACGAUGCGUAGCCGACCUGAGAGGGUGAUCGGCCACACUGGGACUGAGACACGGCCCAGACUCCUACGGGAGGCAGCAGUAGGGAAUCUUCCGCAAUGGACGAAAGUCUGACGGAGCAACGCCGCGUGAGUGAUGAAGGUUUUCGGAUCGUAAAGCUCUGUUGUUAGGGAAGAACAAGUGCCGUUCAAAUAGGGCGGCACCUUGACGGUACCUAACCAGAAAGCCACGGCUAACUACGUGCCAGCAGCCGCGGUAAUACGUAGGUGGCAAGCGUUGUCCGGAAUUAUUGGGCGUAAAGGGCUCGCAGGCGGUUUCUUAAGUCUGAUGUGAAAGCCCCCGGCUCAACCGGGGAGGGUCAUUGGAAACUGGGGAACUUGAGUGCAGAAGAGGAGAGUGGAAUUCCACGUGUAGCGGUGAAAUGCGUAGAGAUGUGGAGGAACACCAGUGGCGAAGGCGACUCUCUGGUCUGUAACUGACGCUGAGGAGCGAAAGCGUGGGGAGCGAACAGGAUUAGAUACCCUGGUAGUCCACGCCGUAAACGAUGAGUGCUAAGUGUUAGGGGGUUUCCGCCCCUUAGUGCUGCAGCUAACGCAUUAAGCACUCCGCCUGGGGAGUACGGUCGCAAGACUGAAACUCAAAGGAAUUGACGGGGGCCCGCACAAGCGGUGGAGCAUGUGGUUUAAUUCGAAGCAACGCGAAGAACCUUACCAGGUCUUGACAUCCUCUGACAAUCCUAGAGAUAGGACGUCCCCUUCGGGGGCAGAGUGACAGGUGGUGCAUGGUUGUCGUCAGCUCGUGUCGUGAGAUGUUGGGUUAAGUCCCGCAACGAGCGCAACCCUUGAUCUUAGUUGCCAGCAUUCAGUUGGGCACUCUAAGGUGACUGCCGGUGACAAACCGGAGGAAGGUGGGGAUGACGUCAAAUCAUCAUGCCCCUUAUGACCUGGGCUACACACGUGCUACAAUGGUCAGAACAAAGGGCAGCGAAACCGCGAGGUUAAGCCAAUCCCACAAAUCUGUUCUCAGUUCGGAUCGCAGUCUGCAACUCGACUGCGUGAAGCUGGAAUCGCUAGUAAUCGCGGAUCAGCAU